CCCUUAGAUGUUCUGGGCCGCACGCGCGCUACACUGACGGAGGCAGCGAGCGUGUCCUUCGCCGGCAGGUGCGGGCAAUCUUGCGAGUCUCCGUCGUGCUGGGGAUAGAUGGUUGCAAUUGUCGAUCUUGAACGAGGAAUUCCUAGUAAGCGCGAGUCAUCAGCUCGCGCUGAUUACGUCCCUGCCCUUUGUACACACCGCCCGUCGCUACUACAGAGUGCCCGUGUCCAAGAAACGGUCGGACCUGUGCGGCCUCUCCGGGCGACCGGAGGGCCGUUACGGGGAAGACCCUUUAUUUGACGCGGGUCGAUGAAGUAAAAGCCGUAACA
rnacentral:rRNA from 1 species